CACGUAGGGCGCAAGCGUUGUCCGGAAUUAUUGGGCGUAAAGAGCUCGUAGGCGGUCUGUUGCGUCUGCUGUGAAAACCCGGGGCUUAACCCCUGGCUUGCAGUGGAUACGGACAGACUAGAGGUAGGUAGGGGAGAAUGGAAUUCCCGGUGUAGCGGUGAAAUGCGCAGAUAUCAGGAGGAACACCGAUGGCGAAGGCAGGUCUCUGGGCCAUUACUGACACUGAGAAGCGAAAGCAUGGGGAGCGAACAGG
rnacentral:rRNA from 1 species